GACGAACGCUGGCGGCGUGCUUAACACAUGCAAGUCGAACGGAAAGGCCCUGCUUUUGUGGGGUGCUCGAGUGGCGAACGGGUGAGUAACACGUGAGUAACCUGCCCUUGACUUUGGGAUAACUUCAGGAAACUGGGGCUAAUACCGGAUAGGUGCUCCUGCUGCAUGGUGGGGGUUGGAAAGUUUCGGCGGUUGGGGAUGGACUGGCGGCUUAUCAGCUUGUUGGUGGGGUAGUGGCUUACCAAGGCUUUGACGGGUAGCCGGCCUGAGAGGGUGACCGGCCACAUUGGGACUGAGAUACGGCCCAGACUCCUACGGGAGGCAGCAGUGGGGAAUAUUGCACAGUGGGCGGAAGCCUGAUGCAGCAACGCCGCGUGCGGGAUGACGGCCUUCGGGUUGUAAACCGCUUUCGCCUGUGACGAAGCGUGAGUGACGGUAAUGGGUAAAGAAGCACCGGCUAACUACGUG
rnacentral:rRNA from 1 species